GCAGUGAUGACUUCACUAGCACUGAUCAUCAGAGCUGAAGUUACCUUUCCUCUAAGAAGUCCUGAGCUU